rnacentral:rRNA from 1 species
UACGUAGGGUGCGAGCGUUAAUCGGAAUUACUGGGCGUAAAGCGUGCUCAGGCGGUUUUGUAAGCCAGAUGUGAAAGCCCCGGGCUCAACCUGGGAAUGGCAUUUGGGACUGCAAGGCUGGAGUUUGGCAGAGGAGACUGGAAUUCCUGGUGUAGCAGUGAAAUGCGUAGAUAUCAGGAGGAAUACCGAUGGCGAAGGCAGGUCUCUGGGCUAUAACUGACGCUCAUGCACGAAAGCGUGGGGAGCAAACAGG